rnacentral:rRNA from 1 species
UACGUAGGGUCCAAGCGUUAAUCGGAAUUACUGGGCGUAAAGCGUGCGCAGGCGGUUCGUUAAGUCAGCUGUGAAAGCCCCGGGCUCAACCUGGGAAUGGCGGUUGAAACUGGCGAACUUGAAUCUGGCAGAGGGGGGGUGGAAUUCCACGUGUAGCAGUGAAAUGCGUAGAGAUGUGGAGGAACACCGAUGGCGAAGGCAGCCCCCCUGGGCUGAGAUUGACGCUCAGGCACGAAAGCGUGGGGAGCAAACAGG